ACAAAUGAAAUAAAGGGUUUUUAACAUAUUUACCAUGAAGCAAGAACAAGCUUACGGUGAUCGAAACAAGGAUAACAAAACGAGAUAUAGCCAAUGUUAUCGAUCGGUAAGUAAACGAGGUAGUCUACGUGUAUGAGCUAUUUGUAAAUGUAAGAAUGGAGAAAGAUCAGAAGAAGGAGAUCCUUUGUGCUUGAAUUUUGGUCAAGUUUUUUUGUUACUGUACAUGGAAAGGGAAAGAUUGAUGAGGGAUUGAAGAUGGAUUUGAAGGUUAUGGCAUGGUAAUUUUAUGGAAUGAAAUUAAAUGAUUUGAACUCCAAUGAAAGGAAAGCAGAAAGAUUGAAGGAGAGAAG
rnacentral:lncRNA from 1 species